rnacentral:sRNA from 1 species
UAUACCUGAAACGAUAAAAGCCCUACCUCUCUUCCAUCCUUACGGCUCUUUGUUCGUGCCAGUGUGAAUCAGGAUGACAAAAACCAA